rnacentral:rRNA from 1 species
UACCUGCAGCUCGAGUGGUAACCGCUAUUAUUGGGCCUAAAGCGUCCGUAGCCGGUUUGGUAAAUAUCUGGGUAAAUCGUGAGGCUUAACUUCACGAAUUUCGGAUAGACUGCCAGACUUGGGAUCGGGGGAGGUCAGAGGUACUCCAGGGGUAGCGGUGAAAUGUUGUAAUCCUUGGAGGACCACCGGUAGCGAAGGCGUCUGACUAGAACGAGUCCGACGGUGAGGAACGAAGCCCUGGGGCGCAAACCGGAUUAGAUACCCGGGUAGUCCAGGGUGUAAACAAUGUGGGCUUUGUAUUGGAGGUCCUACGUGGGCGUCCAGUGCAGAAGAGAAGUUGUUAAGCCCACCGCCUGGGAAGUACGGUCGCAAGGCUGAAACUUAAAGGAAUUGGCGGGGGAGCACAGCAACGGGAGGAGCGUGCGGUUU